UACGUAGGUGGCGAGCGUUACCCGGAUUUACUGGGUGUAAAGGGCGCGUAGGCGGGGAUGCAAGUCAGAUGUGAAAUCCAUGGGCUCAACCCAUGAACUGCAUUUGAAACUGUAUUUCUUGAGUGCUGGAGAGGUAGACGGAAUUCCUUGUGUAGCGGUGAGAUGCGUAGAUAUAAGGAAGAACACCAGUGGCGAGGGCGGUCUACUGGACAGUAACUGACGCUGAGGCACGAAAGCGUGGGGAUCAAAC
rnacentral:rRNA from 1 species